UCAUCAGUACCUUCAGUUCCUUCUGUACUCUGAUUGGAAGGCUGAAGAGCAGAACAAAGAACUCAUCCUAAAGCUUGCAUUAAAAAGAAAAACUCCUUGGUCAGUCAACUCUUCCUUUUCUGUCAUGUACCUUGGACUGGAUUCUACCAUACCCCUCAUACCAGCUGCCUUGGUGAUCAAAGGAGCCACACACACCCAUCAGAGAUGCUGAGAAUAGCCUGAGCAGCAGCGUGACAUCAUCCGAGUCAGUGGUCCCUCAGUGUCAGAGGUGAAACUGUCCCUCCACGUGUAUCCCUAUAAAUGUCCAUUGUCCCCACCGGUUGUAUGCAUGUUUGUAGGAAAGUGAGCCCUUUGUUUUGUGAAGAGAUGCGAUGUACUAUUUCAAAUCUUACCACGCCUGCUAUUAAAUGCUUUUUGUUU